CUACGGGUGGCUGCAGUGGGGAAUAUUGCACAAUGGAGGAAACUCUGAUGCAGCAACGCCGCGUGGAGGAUGACACUUUUCGGAGCGUAAACUCCUUUUAUAUAGGAAGAAGAUGACGGUACUAUAUGAAUAAGCGCCGGCUAACUCCGUGCCAGCAGCCGCGGUAAUACGGGGGGCGCAAGUGUUACUCGGAAUCACUGGGCGUAAAGAGCGUGUAGGCGGAUUAAAAAGUCAGAAGUGGAAUCCUAUAGCUUAACUAUAGAACUGCUUCUGAAACUCUUAAUCUAGAAUAUGGGAGAGGUAGAUGGAAUUUCUGGUGUAGGGGUAAAAUCCGUAGAGAUCAGAAGGAAUACCGAUUGCGAAGGCGAUCUACUAGAACAUUAUUGACGCUGAGACGCGAAAGCGUGGGGAGCAAACAGGAUUAGAUACCCGUGUAGUC
rnacentral:rRNA from 1 species